GUUAUCUCGUAACGGUAUUAGGUUUUCCGCGGAGAACCGGCCAACCGAACAGAAAACCCUCGAAUAUCGUAAAAUAAUAAUAUAAUAAUAAUAAUAAUAAUUAUUAUUAUUAUUAUUAUUGGUAAACCGAAUUUUCGCAUUAAAAGCAGACGAAUUUUAUCCGCGGUACGAUGUCAGAGCGAACCGGUCUCAAUAAUACGUCUGGCACGUUAUGACCGGACGUUAGCAACUCCGUUGAAAAUAUUUGAAAUCCAAACCAUUCUGUUCUUUUUUUGAACACCCGUCGAUUUCUGCUCGAAAUGUAAACGCAAUCGGUUAUCUUUUGUCGGAUUCACGGCAAAACAGCUCGUAAGCGGGACAAUUAAGUUGUUUUGUUUGUUUUUAAUUGCGUGUCAUUCCGCACGGUUUGACGUGACUGCGAUUCGCGUUUUCGCGACAUUUGCGCUUACGAUAAUGUAGCUAGUAUACACAAAAUAAAUCAACUUUCGAAUCGAACUACGCGAUUUAAAACAUUAAAAUUAUUUUUUUUUUUGGUAAAUAUUAUCGAAUAGCUGUUGAUAAAUAUUUAUGUAGAAAAACGCGAAACGAGAAAAAUUCGAAAUCGGUUAGUGUUUAGGUGCGGCCGCGGUUUUCGCGUUUCCCCUAAAAUCGACCCACGGCGUGAUUGUGUCGCGAAGCAUUGAAAUAUUACCGGACAUUUAAAACUUAAACAAUAGUAAUUGUGCGGGCUCGAUGUUCGUACCGUUAUAAUUUUUUUUUUUAUCGAGUUGCCGUCCGCCGUACGGUAUGAAAAUUCGGCACCUCGACUGUUACGGUUGCUAUUUACCGUUUUCGGCGCUUCGUGUACGGUAUUUCGUAAUCCCUCGAAAACAGUGAUUUCAGAAGUUUUAACGAAAUAUUCGGAAAAGCGUAAGUACGAAACGCGACAUAGUUGUGGACACGUUAAAAAAUAAUAAUGAUAAUAAUAUAAAAAAAUAGUAUUAUACGCGUCGGAUCGUGGCCGUUAUGGAUUAUCGCCGGUGAUGAGAUGUUUACCACGAGAGGAGACCUUGAAAUAUAUAUAAGUAUUAUUUUUCUUAUGAAUCGAAUUUUG